rnacentral:RNase_P_RNA from 1 species
GAUCCUGAGUAAUCGCGGUCGGCUUAUGUCGGCUGAGGAAAGUCCAUGCUCGCACAGGCUGCGAUGCCUGUAGUGUUCGUGCUCGGUGAAAAAAUAAGCCGGGGGACGUUAGCAAUAGCGUUACGGCGGGGAAAAA